rnacentral:lncRNA from 1 species
UAUAAUAUAGAAGAGUGAUUGAUUCCUUUGGUAUAUGAGAAGCUUGCUUUGUUAUCUUUACAUGCUUUUUUCUUCUUUUAAUAUGGCUUUAACUUUGUUCUUUAGUUCUUUUUCUUUUCUUUUGAUGAGAUAAAUGGCUUGUUGACUAAGAUAUAUCAAGAAUCUGGUACGUAAUAAGGUAGCUAUGAUUUUAUUGUCAUAUGAUUCUAUUUGAAAGAUAUAUAAUUAAUAGUCAUAAGUGCUUUUAAAAUAACUAAUUCAAUUCAGUUUAAUGAAAAAUAAGUUUGAAUAACUUAUCCAAUUUUCUUUUAUGUUUGACUAGUUGAAAUAGUGCCAAUGUUUUAGAUCAAUUAAAAUCCUAUGAACGAAGUAACUCACUGUCUACCGUACUCACUGGAAGAUUAGUCGGGUUGGUCCUGGACCUGGUUACACCUUGUUAAAAAAAGGAAGGAAUUAGGUGUUGAAACUCUUGAAGUUGGUGUGUAAAAUGACAAGAAAAGGUGCUCAAACUUAUAUCUCCAGAUGCGAGGGAUGAAUGAUUCGCAGAGUUCGUGAAUGAUGUUUAAUUUAUGUUUGUUUUUUCCUCAAUUAUCACAAGUUAAAUAGUUCAUUAUAUUUAUAAUUCUUUUUGUCCCGUACGAAAGAGAGAUUUAAAAUGUUAAAAGUUCUACAUGAGUGUAUGAAUAUUAUUAGGUUGUGAGAAUAAAUCCUUUUUUUUUAACAAAAAGGAAAAAAAUCCUUUUUUAACAGUACCUGAGGUAUUGGUUGAGA